UUGCUUCGGUCUGACUCAAAUGAGGCGUCUGAGCCAAUAAGCCGCCAGCCGCCGAAUCUAUGACGAAUCCUGACAAGAGAGAGAGAGAGAGAGAGAGAGACAGAGAGAGAGAGAGAGGUUGUGUGAAUCAGAUGGAAAAUAAUGCAAUUAAUCAAGGUCAAACAAACGUACGGUAAUGACGGUCUUUUUAAUUCUCGUUAGUGAGCGUUCCCCUGAGAACGACGUGAUGUGAGGUAAUCACAAUGAUUUACUCAAAGUCCUGAAUUAUUCAGCGGGUGACAAACACACUCAUGGAAAAGAGAAACAGCAGAUACAUUCACUCCUUUCUCCUCUCAUCUUCUCAUGAAUAAUUAACGGCUCAGUCUCAUUGGUUCCUCCUCCUCCUCCUCAUCCUCUCACACGUACAGAUCCAGCUCAGACUAGAUCGUCUUCUUCCUCCACUUCCAGGACAGAAACACUUUGAGGACGGUGUCCUGCUGCUGCUGCUGUGAGCGUCAUUAAUCCAGACCGGGGGCUGUUUGUCGACUCGGAGGACUUCACACCUGAACUCUCAGGUCGGCCUCAGGCGUGGAGGCGCAACAAAUAUGAUGAAGACGGCAAUAACUCUGCCAUCCCAACAGUAAACCACACACAAACUCAGGCUGAGUCUUAGUUCAGAGUCCCAAAACUACCCUGCCCCUUUUUCAAGCAUGAGUUUUGCACACUUCAUGGCCUUACACACCGGGAAUGAUGCAAAUAUACGACGUGAAAUUAAGACAUAUUCUGAGAUGAAUUUUGACGCGUCCCGGGUGGAAGCGAGAAGACUGCCCCAACAGCAGACUGAGUGUUUGUCAGUUCUGAUUAGACUCUAGUGUUGAGAUGUCUGUCUGUCAUGUUAGCAUGGACUGAGUCUGGGUCAGAACCAGAUAAACACAUGAAGCUAUGCUAACAACCGUUAGCUUACGUUAGCACAGAUGAAAGUUCAAACAAAGACGUUUAUCAAACUGUUAAAGCUCACAAACCAUCGUCAGAUGAGAAAUCCGACGCUAUGACUCUCCACAAGUUGUCCUUCAGGUCGUUAUCUUUGUAAUGUUUGUGUCUUUGAUCAAAAAUCACUCUGUUCUCCGACAUGUAAACAAUCAGCCGUCUGCCAUGUUGGACACACCGGAGUUCUCCUCUUAAACGGGACCUGCUUGAUGGACAGCACAGCGUUCUCCGGUAAAUCACUCGGUAGGGGGUUCGCAGUCGCCAUUCCUACAUCUUCUGUCAUUAGGAACCAAGUGCAGAGUGAGGGGCGGACCGGCUUCCAGUAGAGCAGCUAGCUACUUCAGACGCAUAUUGUAGCUAUGCGUCCGUUUGUGACCAAUCUGGUCAUGAAUGUGCUUACAUCAUUCAAAUUAGGCACGCUUGGGUGCUGGUCCUUGGCGCCCCUUAAGGAUUUUUUAAAUUUGGCUAGGAUAAGCUAACUUUUUUAAGCAGAACUGUGAUCUGAGCAUGCUCGAGACAACAGACGUUCCGAUUCCGCCAUGACACUGGGUGGAGAGAUCGUAGUAUUUGUGUCUUUUAUCAAAAAUCACUCUGUUCUCCGACACGUAAACAAUCAGCCGGUCGGCCAUGUUGGAUAUACCGGUGAAUCAGACGUCGCAACAACACGAAAUCUGAUUGGUCAGAAGUGGACACACAGAAUGCAAAACUUUAGAAAAAUCACUUAUUCGCUUAUUCCCGUUCCCGGGGUCUUCAGGGUCAUCCUGGACAAGUCACCAGUUCAUUGCAGGGCUGACAUAUCGAGACAAACAACCAUCCUCGCUCACAUUCACACCUACAGGCAAUUUGGAAGUGGCCAGUUAACCUAACCCCACUUAGACAUAUUUUUGGGAUGUGGGAGGAAAGCGGAGUACCAGGAGUAAACCCACGCAGACACAGGGAGAACAUGCAAACUCCACACAGAAACGCCCUGAGCCGGAUACAAACCCCGGACUUUCUUGCUGUGAGGCUGAAAAAUCGACUGUGAAACGAAAAAUAAAUGCUGCAAUAUCGCAGGACGGGAAAACGUCGCUGAUGUGAACGCUCCUGGUGUGAAAGGACCUUCCGUCAAGACGCGAGCCUGAGGGCGGGGACAUUUGGCGGCUCAACCAGGAAGUCCUCUGAAGGGUAGACCAUCCCAACUCACAAAAGCCAAACCAUCUCACCCAGGGUACUCAAGUCCACAUAACGGCAGUGUAUGUGUAUGGUUUUGGCGGCUUCUCUUCCACGGCUCAUGUGGGUGUUACUUUUCACACCGCCUCACAGUCUUUACGGUAAAAUGCUGCACACUUCCUCUCUUUGAGAAAUAAGAACGAGAAAACAACAACAACCAGGAGCUCCUUUGUUCGAUGAAGAAAGGCCUUUUCACCUUUGGAGCAUCAAACUCUCACAUGUGUUUCAUAACCAAAGAAAUAAAGUCCCUGUUGGUGUUAUUAACCUCGAACCUUCAGUGUCAUCUAAGCGGGUCGUCUCAGGCCGCCUGCUGUUCACACAACAAACACCCCCCCUGCUGUUCUGUUUUCAGCGGCUGACUGUGAAGAAGAGUUAUCAAUGAUUCAAACCUGGUUUUAACAGAGAGCUGAAACUUUCUCCUCCUCCUCCUCUCGAUUAGUUAAAACAGCGUCCUAUUUUAUAAAAUUCAUGACAUUAAACUUUAAACUGAUUUUUGGAAGUCUUGGGAGAAUCUAAUUUGAACUGAAUUUAUAUGUAAAGAGAGGUUUAAAGGUGGUGAUCAGGGCUCUCAGUAUUCUGAACAUGUACCAGUAGAUGUGCUGGUUCUAAUGAAGACUGAGCAGUUCCCAUUAUGGACAUGGCCGUGUGAUCCGGCAGCAGAAAUGAGGAUUUACAGCCCACCUCCCCCUGAUGUAGAGUGUCAGUUUAUAGAUGCUGCUCGUCAUUGUUCGAUCCUGUCCAUUGUUGUCAGCAGAUUGUUUCUGUGGAUUCAAUACAGAUCCUCCCAUCAGCACAACUCCCACAGAUUCCUGUUUACUGCAUUCACAAUCAAAACAAUGGACAGAGGGUGUUGGCCGGCUCGAACCCGGAGAAUUUCAAUCCCAAGGCUGAAGCGCGCAGAUGAGAUAACAACAAGCCUGAUGGAUUUAUUCACUGUAACACCCAAAGGGAGUGAAGCGAACCGCUCUGCGCUUCAGAGCAACGGUUCCCGAUCAUUUUUACACUAAAUGGGUUUUCAGGUACAAAGAGCGAUGAAACACUGGCCCCGUUUACAUGGGUAGUUUUCCUCAAUCUGAUUGAAAUCAAUCGGAUUAAGUGAAUCUGAUUCCAUCUGUAUACACUCACCGGCCACUUUAUUAGGUACACCUGUCCAACUGCUCGUUAACACUUAAUUUCUAAUCAGCCAAUCACAUGCAGCAACUUAGUGCAUUUAGGCAUGUAGACAUGGUCAAGACAAUCUCCUGCAGUUCAAACCGAGCAUCAGUAUGGGGAAGAAAGGUGAUUUGAGUGACUUUGAACGUGGCAUGGUUGUUGGUGCCAGAAGGGCUGGUCUGAGUAUUUCAGAAACUGCUGAUCUACUGGGAUUUUCACGCACAACCAUCUCUAGGGUUUACAGAGAAUGGUCCGAAAAAGAAAAAAUAUCCAGUGAGCGGCAGUUCUGUGGGCGGAAAUGACUUGUUGAUGCCAGAGGUCAGAGGAGAAUGGCCAGACUGGUUCGAGCUGAUAGAAAGGCAACAGUGACUCAAAUAACCACCCGUUACAACCAAGGUAGGCAGAAGAGCAUCUCUGAACGCACAGUACGUCGAACUUUGAGGCAGAUGGGCUACAGCAGCAGAAGACCACACCGGGUGCCACUCCUUUCAGCUAAGAACAGGAAACUGAGGCAACAAUUUGCACAAGCUCAUCGAAAUUGGACAAUAGAAGAUUGGAAAAACGUUGCCUGGUCUGAUGAGUCUCGAUUUCUGCUGCGACAUUUGGAUGGUAGGGUCAGAAUUUGGCGUCAACAACAUGAAAGCAUGGAUCCAUCCUGCCUUGUAUCAACGGUUCAGGCUGGUGGUGGUGGUGUCAUGGUGUGGGGAAUAUUUUCUUGGCACUCUUUGGGCCCCUUGGUACCAAUUGAGCAUCGUUGCAACGCCACAGCCUACCUGAGUAUUGUUGCUGACCAUGUCCAUCCCUUUAUGACCACAAUGUACCCAACUUCUGAUGGCUACUUUCAGCAGGAUAAUGCGCCAUGUCAUAAAGCUGGAAUCAUCUCAGACUGGUUUCUUGAACAUGACAAUGAGUUCACUGUACUCAAAUGGCCUCCACAGUCACCAGAUCUCAAUCCAAUAGAGCAUCUUUGGGAUGAGGUGGAACGGGAGAUUCGCAUCAUGGAUGUGCAGCCGACAAAUCUGCGGCAACUGUGUGAUGCCAUCAUGUCAAUAUGGACCAAGCUCUCUGAGGAAUGCUUCCAGCACCUUGUUGAAUCUAUGCCACGAAGAAUUGAGGCAGUUCUGAAGGCAAAAGGGGGUCCAACCCGUCACUAGCAUGGUGUACCUAAUAAAGUGGCCGGUGAGUGUACAUGAACUUUAAGUAAAGAGAUCCAUGUUCAGUCCGCGUUUUCAUGGCCCCAGCUGAAUCCAGUUGUAUUGUAUUGUAUCAAUGGGAAUCGUUAAUAGGAACCAUUGUUUUAGUUCCGUUUUAGAGUUGUGCACGGACGUGUUUGUGUGUGACACCGCCGGAGUUACCAGACCGAGCAGAGUAAGGAACCCUGUGUGUUGAAGUUUAAUAAAAGUAUAAUCCAGCCGGGUUACACAGCAAGAAGUGUACGCUUCGUCAGUCGCACGAAACGACACACUUUAACACGCCACCGUCCAGUUUUUCUGUUUGUUCGCCAUGUUUGUUUUCGUUUGGGCGCGCUCUGCGUACGUCACUACGUGCCUCUUACGUACUACGGAGCGCCUGCGCAGACCGAACAAGCCUCUCCGUAAACCCAAUCCGCUCCACUCAGCCGUAUAUAUGGAGCAUGGAGCGGAUUAUCAAUCGGUGUAGACUACUUCUUACAAUCCGACCCGAAAUACAGUCAGAUCCGGGUGAAUCAGACUGGCUAAGGUGUUUAUAUGAGACAUUUUGAAUCUGAUUGACCUUUCAAUCUGAUUGUAAAUAGGAUUUUUGGACCCAUGUAAACGGGGCCAGUGACGGCAACAGCGGCUGAGAAGACUAGAAAACCGACUGAAGAGAAGGAGAGGGAUUCUGGGAACUUUAAAGGCAGUAAAGGUUGUUUCAACUGCAUGUAACUGAUUUAUAUGGAAAUACUGAAGAUUAAAAUGUUUGUUACAUGAAGUUUAGAAUGUUUGAGAAAUAAAGUUUAAAAUAUUUGAUACAUGAAGUUUAGAAUGUUUAGAAUGUUUGAUACAUCCAAAUUUAGAAUGUUUGAAUCAAUGAAGUUUGGAAUGUUUAAUAAAUGAACUUUAGAAUGUUUGAUACAGACACACACACACACACUCUUCAAUUUGGAGUUUGUUGAACCUCUAACAGCUCCAAGGUUUGAGAGCGGACUGAAAUACCUCUGAUAUUCUCGGUUAUUUUCAAACACGGUCUUGUCAGGUCUGCGUUGGACUGCGGCGUUUCAAUUCUCUUUACACGUCAGAACUUUAUUUUAAUCAAGCAGGCGGCGUUAAGACGCCCUGCAGAGAAUCAUUACCAUCCUCCUUUCAUCCCGCCUUUAUUUCCCAGCAGCCACUGCUGUUUGUUUCUCUAAAUAACUCUGAGAAAUCUGAAGAGGAGGCUGAGUGUGUGUGUGUUUGUGUGUAUAUCUGUGUGUGUAUCUGUGUGUGUGUGCGGUAGAUUCCUUUGAUACCAGAUUAGCGAGUAUUCUCAGAGCUGAUCCAGGUGGGUGUUGGACAUGAUCCUGUCCUCGUCUUUUCUGCUCCUGAUGUCCAAAGACUUGAACAAACGUGAACGCGUCUUUAUUCAGCCGUUUUGUUUUUUUAACAUUCGUCCCCGACCGUAAUCAGAUGAGACAGGAAGCUGGCGAGCAUCUGUCCCGCUGAGCUGUCCUUAAAAACCACCAUCCCUCCCUCUGACUCAGACUCUGGAACAAAGCUCCCACGAUACUGAACCUUUGUUUUCUUGAUCAGAAAAAUCAGGAUGUUGGCGGGAGGAUUACACCGACCAAUCUCAGUUGACUGAUAAUCCAGUGUUUGCCUCUAAGCCCAAUCUCACUGCAGCGUCGACAGCUAACCUCUGAGCAGUGUUGCCAUUGUAGUGACUCGGUUGCUAUAUUUAGCGAGUUUUCAGACCCCUAUGAACCUGCGUUAGGGCCAGAAAAAACAUUAUUGUCUCACAUCGCCACUGACAGUUUUUUUUUUCUAUCGUCUCUUUUUGGUCCAUUUAGAUUUAGGUUGUACAAACUGUUUAAGAUAUUAUAUUUAAAAUGUCGAGGCUUUACUGCGAUUAGUCCUUUUUAAAACCAAACAAAACUUUCAAAAACUUAAAAAACAAACAACAAAAAAAAAACCUCAGUAACUCCUCCAAAUUGUCUUGAUUGGGUUAUAUUUGCCGAUGGUCCCAAACC